UCAAAAAAGGAGAUCAAAGAGGAGAAAUAGGAAGAGAGCAAGGAGGGGGAAGAGGAAGAAGAGAGCGUGGAUGAGGAUGAAAAGAGAAAGGAAGAGGUAGAAAGCAAUGGCAUGUCCAUCGAAAUCUGUUGAUCGUGCAAUGCCCGUAUAAGGAAGCAGUUGAAGUUCAGGUUCGAGGAAGUCGAGGAGCCUAAAGCUGCCGAGGAUGGCACCGGAUGUAACGCAUCAAAGAAGGAGAUCAAAAAGGAGAAAGAGGAAGAGAGCAAGGAGGAAGAGGAAGAAGAGAGCAAAGAAGAGGAAGAAAGCAAUGGCUUGUUGAUCGUGCAAUGCCCGUAUAAGGAAGCAGUUGAAGUUCAGGUUCGAGGAAGUCAAGGUGCAUAUAGCUGCCCAGGAUGGCGCCGGAUGUUGCGCAUCAAAGAAGGAGAUCA